rfam:Nippostrongylus brasiliensis genome assembly, scaffold: NBR_contig0000463
GUCUCAGUGGCGUAGUGGUUAGCGCACGAGCCCCGGUUAGGCGCGAAACGCGGGUUCGAAUCCCGCCUGAGGUG